ACGUCCUUCAGAGUGGUACGUGAAACCCUGGCACGUAGAUAACCCAACCUCGGCGAGUUUCCCGAGCCCUGGCCAUAAAAGACCCGUCCUCAGCCCUCGUAGUCAUCGACGCAGUAACUAAGCGUGAAACAAGCACGCAGCGAUGUGGAGCUUACGGCAAGUCGUGCUUUUUGUGACCCUGCUGGUGUGCAUCCUGGCCAUGGUGGCUGCUGUACCUGCCAAAAUAUGCCCCACCUACUGCAAAAAGGAGUGCCUGAACCCUAUUCUCUGCCCACCCCAAUGCAAGGAUUGCAAAUUGGCAUUUUUUUCUUUGGAAGAUUGAGGGAAGUGCCUGAAAAGACGUCGAACGAAACGUUUCAGCCGUGAUUUGUCGUCAUGGACUCUUCUGCGCUUUGAUAAAAUUGUGACUAACAUCAAACGUUAUGCCAAAAAUGUAAAAAACAAAACUAAUGUGAACAUGAUGUCCAUGUGUAAAAGAUUUGUGAAGAUGGUGGAUGCGUAUUUUGCGUCACCUAUUUAUACAUGCGGCAUUGUUGUAGUAAAAUAAAGAUGUUUUACUUUUGA